GAUGAACGCUAGCUACAGGCUUAACACAUGCAAGUCGAGGGGCAGCAGGGAGAUAGCUUGCUAUCUUUGCUGGCGACCGGCGCACGGGUGAGUAACGCGUAUCCAACCUUCCCCUUACUAAGGAAUAGCCCGGCGAAAGUCGGAUUAAUGCCUUAUGUUCUCCUUUGCAGGCAUCUAACGAGGAGCAAAGAUUCAUCGGUAAGGGAUGGGGAUGCGUCUGAUUAGCUUGUCGGCGGGGUAACGGCCCACCGAGGCGACGAUCAGUAGGGGUUCUGAGAGGAAGGUCCCCCACAUUGGUACUGAGACACGGACCAAACUCC
rnacentral:rRNA from 1 species